GCCACAUGAAGCAGAGUGGGGGCUGGGGGGUGAGCUAACAGGGUUCGUUCUUCCUCUCGUUGCAUUUAAAAAUAUGUGUCUUUCUUUGGUUCUGCUUCUGUCAGUUAUUGUCAGCUAUAUCCAGAAAAUAUAAUGUAUAGUCUCUAUGCCCUGUGGAAUUUUGGAGAGUGCAUGCUUUCAUCAGAGUCUUCACAAAGUGCUCACAACUGGGCAAAGGGACAGGAAGCACUCAGAGGCUGUGAUGCUGAGGGAAAAUCACGGAAGACGUACCAAACCCUGUAUAAAUUGAAAGGAUCUAUCAAUGGGGACUGAUGAAUUACAUACACUGGUAGAAGCUGCCUCUUAGGAAAAGAUAUCAGAUAUUUAUUAUCAUCUCAGAGGCAUUUGGGGGGGGAAUUUGGGGUGGAACCUAAAUUCAUCUCUACCUUUCCUGUCUCUACUACGUAAGCUUCCCAUAUAAAAAUACCUUUUGGUCUUGAAUGAUGCUGUGAUGUUAGAUCCUGAUUAUUUGCUUCUGCAAUUAUACUUCUGUUAAUCCAUUCUCUCUCUAGUCCUCAAGUUAUUUAGUGGUGAAAUUGCUUUAUGAAUAUCUUCAAAGGUAAAAUACAGCAAACUUAAUCAGAAGGAGAUGAGGCAGAACACUUGUGAAAUACUGUUGUCACUAACACCUAGUUGCACAGAAAGAUGGAAACCCUUACAGCUUCUUCCCUGGAUCAUAGAUCUCAAAAUUAUUCCUGCUUCCCCCUCAACAUGUUAGUAAUAAUUCUUUUAAGAACAACUGAGAACACCUGAAAGAUUAAGGAAGUCUCCUUUCUCCAACAAUUAAAAUAAAACGGCUCUCACAGCACUGGCUGGCUUUGGG
rnacentral:lncRNA from 1 species